UUUAAUUUUUUUAAAAAUUUAUAAAAUUUUCCUUUUUAUUAUAUAUGUUAUUUGGAAAAUUUUAAAAAGGAAACUAAAUUAAAAUUCAAUAAUAGUAUUUAAAUUUAAUAUAUUUAAUUCAUUAAGGGUAUUAUUGUAAUCAACCAUCGUGAGAGUUAAUGUGAGCGCGACACAUAAUAAACAGAUUUUUCAAAUAAUAUUACAGACAUUAGCAAAAACUUUUUAUAUCUAACAUCAAUUCUUUUCUAGCAAGCAAGUAAGCAAGAGUGAAGUUAAAAAAAAAAAAAAAAAAGUAAGCAAGAGUCAAAAGGGAAAUCUGAAUAGAAUAAAAGGUACCACGUACACAACAUUCAUAGGCGCAUUUACUAUUUUUCACAUUAACAGCGCAUUUGAUAUCAAAGCACGUACACAUUAUAGAUGUCAUAACUCUUGACACCUCUUGACAUCCAAGAGAGAUAAGGCUUCUGUACUUGGGAUUCUCUGAGUUGCUCAGUGUCCAAAAUACUGCUUCUUUUAAAUUGAGUUUUCAAUUUCUUGAAUCUUGAUGCUUCUAAAAUUAAAAUUCUGCAAAAGUUUAGAAUAUGGAUGCAUAAUUAUAUGAUAUCAAGACAUGCUGAAACAAGAAGACUG
rnacentral:lncRNA from 1 species